GACGAACGCUGGCGGCGUGCUUAACACAUGCCAGUCGAACGGAAAGGCCCUGCUUUUGUGGGGUGCUCGAGUGGCGAACGGGUGAGUAACACGUGAGUAACCUGCCCUUGACUUUGGGAUAACUUCAGGAAACUGGGGCUAAUAUCGGAUAGGAGCUCCUGCUGCAUGGUGGGGGUUGGAAAGUUUCGGCGGUUGGGGAUGGACUCGCGGCUUAUCAGCUUGUUGGUGGGGUAGUGGCUUACCAAGGCUUUGACGGGUAGCCGGCCUGAGAGGGUGACCGGCCACAUUGGGACUGAGAUACGGCCCAGACUCCUACGGGAGGCAGCGGUGGGGAAUAUUGCACAAUGGGCGGAAGCCUGAUGCAGCAACGCCGCGUGCGGGAUGACGGCCUUCGGGUUGUAAACCGCUUUCGCCUGUGACGAAGCGUGAGUGACGGUAAUGGGUAAAGAAGCACCGGCUAACUACGUG
rnacentral:rRNA from 1 species